UAUUAGAUGAGCCUAUAUUAGAUUAGCUAGUUGGUGGAGUAAUAGCCUACCAAGGCAAUGAUCUAUAGCUGAUCUGAGAGGAUGAUCAGCCACACUGGAACUGAGAUACGGUCCAGACUCCUACGGGAGGCAGCAGUGGGGAAUAUUGGACAAUGGGCGAAAGCCUGAUCCAGCUAUGCCGCAUGAGUGAAGAAGGCCUUUGGGUUGUAAAGCUCUUUUAGUGAGGAAGAUAAUGACGGUACUCACAGAAGAAGUCCUGGCUAACUCCGUGCCAGCAGCCGCGGUAAUACGGAGAGGGCUAGCGUUAUUCGGAAUUAUUGGGCGUAAAGGGCGCGUAGGCUGACUAAUAAGUUAAAAGUGAAAUCCCGAGGCUUAACCUUGGAAUUGCUUUUAAAACUAUUAAUCUAGAGAUUGAAAGAGGAUAGGAGAAUUCCUGAUGUAGAGGUAAAAUUCGUAAAUAUUAGGAGGAACACCAGUGGCGAAGGCGUCUAUCUGGUUCAAAUCUGACGCUGAGGCGCGAAGGCGUGGGGAGCAAACAGGAUUAGAUACCCUGGUAGUCCACGCUAUAAACGAUGAAUGUUAAAUAUGGGAAGUU
rnacentral:rRNA from 1 species